CAAUUUCGUGCACCAAUCCGCCACUGCUGUAAUCCCUCUUCUCUGCCUUGCACAGCCUGAGCCGUCUCUGGUCGUCGUCGCUGCUCAAUGGUCGUCGUCGGCUCGUCAAUGCCUCACGUCCUCGCUGCUCUGCCUGAGCCGUCUCUGCUGUAAUCCUCACUGCUCGCUACAAUCAUGUCUCAAGUUAGGGUUGCUCUUAUGAUACUGAUGGCUUACCUUUCAUACAUGCUUGUUGAGGCAUGUUUUUGCAACAUUGUCAUUCAUUGCUGAGAUAUUUAUAUUCCUUUAUGUUGGGAUGGAUGCACUGGACAUAGAGAAGUGGCGAUUCAUAAGCCAAAGUCCUGGAAAAUCAGUUGGGAUCAGUUCAGUGCUUCUAGGAUUUAUCCUAGUUGGAAGAGCAACAUUUGUUUUUCC